rnacentral:rRNA from 1 species
UGCGUAGGCGGUCUGGUAAGUCAGAGGUGAAAGUUUGCAGCUUAACUGUAAAAUUGCCUUUGAUACUGUCAGACUUGAAACAGGUUGAGGUUGGCGGAAUGUGGCAUGUAGCGGUGAAAUGCAUAGAUAUGCCAUAGAACACCAAUUGCGAAGGCAGCCAGCUGGGCCUUGUUUGACGCUGAGGCACGAAAGCGUGGGGAGCGAACA